UAGCUGGGAUCACUCUAAUUGCAUCUAGGACUAAGGCAAAGGCGACAUAUGUGACUCUUAUCUGCAAGAACUGUAGAAAUUCAAAGCAAGUUCCUUGUCGGCCAGGCCUUGGUGGUGCAAUUGUCCCUCCCUCUUGUGAUCAUAUCCCUCAGCCGGGAGAAGAGCCAUGCCCACUUGAUCCAUGGCUUGUGGUUCCAGAUAAGAGCAAGUAUGUUGAUCAACAAACCUUGAAAUUGCAGGAGAAUCCAGAGGAUGUUCCAACUGGGGAGCUUCUGAGGAACUUUUUUUCUCUCUUUUUUCGAUUGUUUCGUACGGGACAUAGGGAAAGAUGACUCCAUUCAUGUCCAACACCGUUCCAUAUAUAUGCUUUUUAAACUAUUAUAAAAAUAUGUUUGGUUUAUAAAAAAAUAUUAUAACAAUAAAUUUGUAAAAUAAUGUGUCUUGAGGUUGUU